rnacentral:rRNA from 1 species
UACGAAGGGGGCUAGCGUUGUUCGGAAUUACUGGGCGUAAAGCGUGCGCAGGCGGCUUCUCAAGUCAGGGGUGAAAGCCCAGAGCUCAACUCUGGAACUGCCUUUGAGACUGAGAGGCUUGAGUACGGGAGAGGUGAGUGGAAUUCCCAGUGUAGAGGUGAAAUUCGUAGAUAUUGGGAAGAACACCGGUGGCGAAAGCGGCUUCCUGGUCCAGCACCGACGUUCAGGCACGAAAGCGUGGGGAGCAAACAGG